rnacentral:hammerhead_ribozyme from 1 species
GACGAGUCCCAAAUAGAACGAAACGCGCGUC